CUCGUAGGCGGUUCGUCGCGUCCGGUGUGAAAGUCCAUCGCUUAACGGUGGAUCCGCGCCGGGUACGGGCGGGCUUGAGUGCGGUAGGGGAGACUGGAAUUCCCGGUGUAACGGUGGAAUGUGUAGAUAUCGGGAAGAACACCAGUGGCGAAGGCAGGUCUCUGGGCCGUCACUGACGCUGAGGAGCGAAAGCGUGGGGAGCGAAC
rnacentral:rRNA from 1 species